GACGAACGCUGGCGGCGUGCUUAACACAUGCAAGUCGAACGGUGAAGCGCCUUCCUUUUUGGUGGGUGUGGAUGAGUGGCGAACGGGUGAGUAACACGUGAGUAACCUGCCCCCUUCUUCUGGAUAACCGCAUGAAAGUGUGGCUAAUACGGGAUAUUCUGGGUCUGUCGCAUGAUGGGUCUGGGAAAGAUAUUGUUUCGGUGGGGGAUGGGCUCACGGCCUAUCAGCUUGUUGGUGGGGUGAUGGCCUACCAAGGCGGUGACGGGUAGCCGGCCUGAGAGGGUGGACGGUCACACUGGGACUGAGACACGGCCCAGACUCCUACGGGAGGCAGCAGUGGGGAAUAUUGCACAAUGGGCGCAAGCCUGAUGCAGCGACGCCGCGUGAGGGAUGGAGGCCUUCGGGUUGUGAACCUCUUUCGCCAGUGAAGCAGGCCUGCCUCGUUUGUGGGUGGGUUGACGGUAGCUGGAGAAGAAGCGCCGGCUAACUACGUG
rnacentral:rRNA from 1 species